UGGCGGACGGGUGAGUAACGCGUGGAAAACCUGCCGUAUACUGGGGGAUAACACUUAGAAAUAGGUGCUAAUACCGCAUAAGCGCACAGCUUCGCAUGAAGCGGUGUGAAAAACUCUGGUGGUAUACGAUGGUUCCGCGUCUGAUUAGCUAGUUGGUGGGGUAAUGGCCUACCAAGGCAACGAUCAGUAGCCGGCCUGAGAGGGUGAACGGCCACAUUGGGACUGAGACACGGCCAAACUCCUACGGAAGGCAGCAG
rnacentral:rRNA from 1 species